rnacentral:tRNA from 1 species
CGGAGUGUAGCGCAGCCUGGUAGCGCACCUGCUUCGGGAGCAGGGGGUCGCGUGUUCAAAUCACGCCACUCCGA